rnacentral:lncRNA from 1 species
UUUUCAUGUACAUAUUUUGAGUGACUAAAACUGGCUGGUUUUUGAUCACGGUUUGCAUUGGAGAUUUAGCGGAAAACUUUGAAUAUUUACGUGUUGAGGCGUGAAUUAUUUAGAAAGCGGUUCGCUGGUUAAAUUAUGAGUUGAGUUUUUUGAAAAGUUCUUUGAACUGAAUAAAAGUUGUCAGUUGGCGAAUAACGAGAUUCGGUUAACUGUUCAGCUGUUCAGUUGUUAAGGUUAAAGUUAUUUAUAACUUGCGGGUUAAAGCAAGUAAAAGUUCGGAGUCAUUAUUUGUUGGCAUUCACGUGAGUGACUCAAAUCUAUGACUUGAACUUAAGGACGGUAAAUUUAAGUAUUAAAGUGUUAACAAGCGAAAUCCAUAUGCAAGCCCUGAUCAGAACGGCAGAGUGAGUCGUUAAAGAAAGUUAGAUACUGAAAGAAUUUAUUUUCUUGGUCUAAGAAAUCUUGUUAUAGACUGCAGAAAUAGACCAUUGACUCGCAAAACUGUAACUUAUUAAAUGUGCAGCUGAUUCAUAUGCGUGUUGUCUAAUAAAAGUUGUAUCUUACUGAAUUAUUUUAUUGCAGAGAAACGCCUUGUCCCUUGCCUGAAUUGAUCCUUCGAUUAAAACUCGUCC